rnacentral:miRNA from 1 species
CUGGCUUGUAUUCUCGCUGCCC